rnacentral:rRNA from 1 species
UUCAUAUAGUACCGUCAGUGUCAGGUAGACCCAACAUUUUCUUCCUAUAUAAAAGUAGUUUACAACCCAUAGGGCCGUCUUCCUACACGCAGGAUGGCUGGAUCAGGGUUGCCCCCAUUGUCCAAUAUUCCUU